AAUCAACGCUGGCGGCGUGCCUAACACAUGCAAGUCGAACGAGAAAGUGGAGCAAUCCAUGAGUAAAGUGGCGACCGGGUGAGUAACACGUGACUAACCUACCUCCGAGUGGGGAAUAACUCCGGGAAACCGGGGCUAAUACCGCAUAACAUCGCGAGAUCAAAGCAGCAAUGCGCUUGGAGAGGGGGUCGCGGCUGAUUAGCUAGUUGGCGGGGUAAUGGCCCACCAAGGCGAAGAUCGGUAUCCGGCCUGAGAGGGCGCACGGACACACUGGAACUGAAACACGGUCCAGACUCCUACGGGAGGCAGCAGUGGGGAAUUUUGCGGCAAUGGGGGAAACCCUGACGCAGCAACGCCGCGUGGAGGAUGAAG
rnacentral:rRNA from 1 species